ACGCGUUUGGAGCGGCCGAUGGCAGAUUAGGUAGUUGGUGGGGUAAAGGCUUACCAAGCCUGCGAUCUGUAGCUGGUCUGAGAGGAUGAUCAGCCACACUGGGACUGAGACACGGCCCAGACUCCUACGGGAGGCAGCAGUGGGGAAUUUUGGACAAUGGGCGCAAGCCUGAUCCAGCCAUUCCGCGUGCAGGACGAAGGCCUUCGGGUUGUAAACUGCUUUUGUACGGAACGAAAGGGCUCUCUCUAAUACAGGGGGCAUAUGACGGUACCGUAAGAAUAAGCACCGGCUAACUACGUGCCAGCAGCCGCGGUAAUACGUAGGGUGCAAGCGUUAAUCGGAAUUACUGGGCGUAAAGCGUGCGCAGGCGGUUUUGUAAGACAGAGGUGAAAUCCCCGGGCUCAACCUGGGAACUGCCUUUGUGACUGCAAGGCUGGAGUGCGGCAGAGGGGGAUGGAAUUCCGCGUGUAGCAGUGAAAUGCGUAGAUAUGCGGAGGAACACCGAGGCG
rnacentral:rRNA from 1 species